GAAAACUAUAGGAGGAUUAAGGCCUGUCUAUUCUUAGAAAAUGGCCAAGACAGAUUUCUGCUGAAUCAACAUUACAUACAUCACAUGUCAUGUAAAUGAUGUCCUUUGAUUUGUAACCAGGCCUGUCAUUGCAAUAGGCCUGGAGGCCUUGAGAAGGAUUGCACCAUUCCCCACUGGUGGAGAGCCAGGGUGGUCCAUUUGCCACCACUGCAUCCCAGCUUCUCAGCAUUGGACCAGAGUGCUCAUUCUGCAUGUUGCAUCUGUUCACCUUGCAUGGAAAAGUCCAGAAGAGCAGGUGAAGUCCUUGAGAGCUAAGGCACCUGAGCCUAGACGCGAUGGGAACAUGAGCACAAAGUUUUCUUUUACAUUGGAAAAAAUAAAGACCAAGUUCUGAGAAUAAAGAUUGAUUCAUCUUUCUCUAAAAAAUCGCAUGCUCCUAAUACUCACCGGAGCCAGUUGAAAAGUUUGGGAAAUGCUUUCUUUCCACUCCAGACUUUCACAAUGCAAAGUCCUCUGUGAACUCGCCUCUUGUCUCCAGCAUCAUCUGAGUCAGAUUUGUUCUUCUCCAAAGGAAUGGUGAGUUCUUUGUGGCAGGACUGGCACCUUUCUCUCAAAGCAACAAUAUAAUCUCAAGUGAUUGUUCUUAACGCCCUGUUGUAACCCAACUGCAAUAUGGGUUCUCCUGACUCCAUCCCUUUGUGUAAUAGUUGCUCCUCCCUGUGCGUUUGAAAGACCUGGAAAAAGGAGGUCUUUUUCACCUUAAGUGUUCAUAUUCUUUACAGGUCAGUUAAGGCAUCAAUGAAGACUUCUGUGACAUGACACCCCUGUCCUUCAUUGGUCCCCAUCAGACAGGUAAGGGUUUCAUAUCUCCUGACACUUGUACAAGCUUAC
rnacentral:lncRNA from 1 species